UACAGAGGGUGCAAGCGUUAAUCGGAAUUACUGGGCGUAAAGCGUGCGUAGUCGGCCAUUCAAGUCGGGUGUGAAAGCCCCGGGCUCAACCUGGGAAUUGCAUUCGAUACUGUGUGGCUAGAGUUCGGCAGAGGGAAGUGGAAUUUCGGGUGUAGCGGUGAAAUGCGUAGAUAUCCGAAGGAACAUCAGUGGCGAAAGCGACUUCCUGGACCAGAACUGACGAUCAGGCACGAAAGCGUGGGGAGCAAACAGG
rnacentral:rRNA from 1 species